AGCCUUUUGAUGAGUCAUUGU
rnacentral:siRNA from 1 species